UUUGGAACUGCAAUUAAAACUGCUCGACUAGAGUUUGAUAGAGGAAAGCGGAAUACAUAGUGUAGAGGUGAAAUUCGUAGAUAUUAUGUAGAACACCAGUUGCGAAGGCGGCUUUCUGGAUCAACACUGACGCUGAGGCGCGAAAGUAUGGGUAGCAAAGAGGAUUAGAUACCCUCGUAGUCCAUACCAUAAACGAUGAUUGCUAGAUGUUGGAAAUUUAUUUUCAGUAUCGCAGCUAACGCAUUAAGCAAUCCGCCUGGGGAGUACGACCGCAAGGUUAAAACUCAAAUGAAUUGACGGGGACCCGCACAAGCGGUGGAGCAUGUGGUUUAAUUCGAAGAUACGCGCAGAACCUUACCAACCCUUGACAUGUCUGUCGCGAGUUUAGGAAACUAGACUUUUCGGUUCGGCCGGACAGAACACAGGUGCUGCAUGGCUGUCGUCAGCUCGUGUCGUGAGAUGUUGGGUUAAGUCCCGCAACGAGCGCAACCCCUACUUUUAGUUGCCAUCAGGUCAUGCUGGGCACUCUGAAAGAACUGCCAGUGAUAAGCUGGAGGAAGGUGGGGAUGACGUCAAGUCCUCAUGGCCCUUACGGGUUGGGCUACACACGUGCUA
rnacentral:rRNA from 1 species